UACGGCUAUCGCUUCGUAUAUAGGAGAAAUUUCUUUGUAUACGGUGGAUUUGUCGGCGUGCUCGGGGAACGUGUAAUCCGAGGCGUGACAAUAUAUUAAUUAGAUUAAUUAAUAAUUUACUGUCAUUAAAAUUAAAUUUAGAUUUUAAUUAACCUUGUUCUCAUCAAGGAAUAAGCUAGUUCCAGGAAACGGGUUGAACAGCAGUUCCAGCCUUAUACCAGCUU
rnacentral:lncRNA from 1 species